rnacentral:tRNA from 1 species
GCCCGAGUGGUGAAACUGGUAGACACAAGGGACUUAAAAUCCCUCGACUUCGCGGUCGUGCCGGUUCGAUUCCGGCCUCGGGCACCA